AAUUUGGGGGAGCUGGUGUGCUUUUUCAUGCUAAUACGACGCAGGGAGGCCGACGAACUCUGGCGUGGAGUGUCUUUACGGACGAGCUAUAUAAUCCCACCGUGCCGAGCCGUGGGGGGAUAACGCAGCGAAAGCUGUGCUAAUACCGCAUACGAUCUAUGGAUGAAAGCGGGGGACUCGCAAGGGCCUCGCGCGAUUGGAGCGGCCGAUAUCAGAUUAGCUAGUUGGUGGGGUAAAAGCUCACCAAGGCGACGAUCUGUAGCUGGUCUGAGAGGACGACCAGCCACACUGGAACUGAGACACGGUCCAGACUCCUACGGGAGGCAGCAGUGGGGAAUUUUGGACAAUGGGCGAAAGCCUGAUCCAGCAAUGCCGCGUGCGGGAUGAAGGCCUUCGGGUUGUAAACUGCUUUUGUACGGAACGAAACGGCUCACCCUAAUACGGUGGGCUAAUGACGGUACCGUAAGAAUAAGC
rnacentral:rRNA from 1 species